AAACGCCCUUAAAUUCCAAAGAAGAAGAAGAAGAUUGCGCAGCCGCUUCACAGCCAGAGAAUUCAGUUCAGUUCUGUCGCAGUAACGUUCGUUGUUUUUCUUCGACUGUUUUUGAGAGUAACUUUGAUUUCGGGUGUCUUUUAUGAGUAAUCAAAAGAUUCAGAAGCCAACGCUUACAGGCCAGCGUUUUAAAACUAGGAAGAGAGAUGAAAAGAAGGUGUUUGACCCUACUCAGUUUCAGGAAACCAUUGUACAAGGUCUGAACCAAACUGGCAGUGAUCUCGACGCUGUUGCGAAAUUUCUUGAUGCCUCUGGUGCCAAGCUUGACUACCGCCGCUAUGCUGAGACACUCUUCGACAUCCUGGUGGCUGGCGGAAUGCUGGCCCCAGGGGGUACCUUAUCAGAUGACUUGACCCGUACAGAGUUCUGUCUCUUUACAGCUCAAGAAGACCUGGAGACCAUGCAAGCUUAUGCUCAGGUUUUCAACAAGCUUAUCAGGCGCUACAAGUACCUGGAGAAAGGUUUCGAAGAGGAGAUCAAGAAGUUGCUGCUGUUCCUAAAGGGGUUCACUGAGUCUGAGCGCAACAAGCUGGCCAUGUUGACUGGCAUCCUGCUAGCCAACGGCAACAUCUCAGCCUCUAUCCUCAACAGCCUCUACAACGAGAACCUCGUCAAAGAAGGUGUCUCUGCAGCCUUUGCUGUGAAACUUUUCAAAUCCUGGAUCCAUGAGAAGGACAUCAACUCUGUGGCCGGAAGUCUCCGGAAGGUCGGGAUGGAUAACAGGCUUCUGGAGCUGUUUCCUGCCAACAAGCGGAGCUGUGAGCACUUCUCUAAGUACUUCACAGAUGCUGGACUCAAGGAGCUGUCAGACUUUGCCAGGAACCAGCAGGCCAUUGGGUCCCGUAAGGAGCUUCAGAAGGAGCUCCAGGAACAGAUGGAACGCGGGGAUGCUUUCAAAGACAUCAUUGCCUCAGCCAGGGAGGAGAUGAAGAAAAACAACAUCUCAGAGCAGACCAUGAUCGGCAUCGUGUGGACCAGCGUUAUGAGCUAUGUGGAGUGGAACAAGAAAGAGGAGCUGGUUACAGAACAAGCCAUCAAACACUUGAAGCAAUACAGCCCACUGCUGAAGGCGUUCACAUCCCAGGGAGCCUCUGAGAUCCUGCUGCUGGUGAAGAUGCAGGAGUACUGCUAUGACAACAUCCAUUUCAUGAACUCCUUCCAGAAGAUUGUGGUCCUGCUCUACAAAGGUAAAAGUGAUGCUUGGCACUCGGCAUUAAGGAGAUGGAUUGGGGGUAGGGCGCUGCGACAGACUAGGUUCCUGUCCAGGGAGUGUACUUGUGUAUCAAGCUGCCUUACACUACAGAAACCGGACAUAGGCUCCUGCACCUAUGGGUUGUUCUGGCUCGGACAAGGCUUGCCUACUUACUUACAAAGGGAAGGAGAACAGUGAACAGCGUUGUCUGCGUCCACCGUCCUUGUUUCCCCAAUCCCUCUCAAAGCUCAUUGGAUGGGAAUGUCUGAGGGAGGGACCUUGGAUCUUUCUAUCCAGUGAGCUUUGAUUCCAUCUUCUGACCUCGCAUUGACCGUAGCUGCCAAAACCUUCCCGCUGUGCUAAUCAAAGCGAGAUCUGCGUUGACUACCAUGAAAAAUGGGCGUUCCUCUUCGGCUUUGCCAAGUGGAGCAGAAUCCAUGGCCAAAGAGGUGGAAAUACUGCUAUAGUUUCUUCACUUUCUGUUCCGCUUUGUUCAGCCAACCUGAGCCCACCUGAAAAUGUUGAAGGGUCAGUGGUCCGUUUUAGAAUUAUUUUAUAUUCUUCCAAAUAUGAGAGAUGGGACAUUAUAUGCACUAGGGCUGACCCCAUUAAGUUGAUUGUUUAGGCGACAGGCUGUUGGUUGACCGAUAAUUGUUAUGUCGAUCAGUAGCAAAAGAAAAUCAUGUUUCAUGGUGUACAAGACAUCUGUUUGAUUUGCACUUGUUUGAGUGGAUUGAUCCAUUGAGGCUGUAGGGAUGGCUCAGUCCAUCACUCUAAGACAUGUGCUACUGAAAUUGUACAUGGUUAAGGACAAUGGUGCAACACCAAUACAAAUAAUAUUAUCUUAUAACAAAUGCUCUUUCUCCCGCGUUUAAUAGCAGUCGCUGUCUGCGGUUUUGAAACAUAAGUGCACUGUUGAAUUGGCGACUUUUUCUAGACCAUGUUGCUAUGUGUAUAAUAGCAAAGUUCAUGAGCAUAUUGGUGUUGGGAACAAUGUGGCAGAGUCAGCAGCGGAGUUAGGAGACGAUAAAACAGCCCUUGCCUUAAUUGACUAAGAAAAGUGAGGAGAGAGGAAACACCAACUGAACUAGGCUAUAGAUUAUAGACCUAACUAUUAAAUGUGCCUGGCUUUAUAACAUCCAUAUAAACUAUAUAUACAGAGGUAUGUGGACACCCCUUCAAAUUAGUGGAUUCAGCUAUUUCAGCCACACCCGUUCCUGCGAGGUGUAUAGACUUGAGCACGCAGCCAUGCAAUCGCCAUAGACAAACAUUGGCAGUAGAAUGGCCUUACUGAAGAGCUCAGUGACUUUUAAAGUUGCACCGUCAUAGGAUGCCACCAACAAAUAAUUUAGUCAAAUUUCUGCCCUGCUAGAGCUGCCCCUGUCAACUGUAAGUGCUGUUAUUGUGAAGUGGAAACGUCUAGGAGCAACAACGGCUGUCGCAAAGUGGUAGGCCACACAAGCUCACAGAACGUGACCACUGAAGCGUGUAGUGCGUAAACAAUCGUCUGUCCACGGUUGAAAUACUCGCUACCAAGUUCCAAACUGCCUCUGGAAGCAUCGUCAGCACAAGAACUGACUGUCGGGAGCUUCAUGAAUUGGGUUUCUUUGGCCGAGCAGCCGUACACAAGCCUAAGUUGACCAUGUGCAAUGCCAAGCAUCGGCCGGAGUGGUGUAAAGCUCGCCGCCAUUGUACUCUGGAGCAGUGGAAACGCAUUAUCUGUAGUGAUGAAUCACACGUCACCAGCUGGCAGUCCGACGGACGAAUCUGGGUUUGGUGGAUAUAGGUAGAACACUACCUGCCCGAAUACAUAGUGCCAACUGUAAUGUUUGGUAGAGGAGGCAUAAUGGUCUGGGACUGUUUUUCAUGGUUCGGCAUACAAGGACAUUAGACAUUUCUGUGCUUCCAACUUUGUGGCAACAGUUUGGGGAAGGCACUUUCUUGUUUAAGCAUGACAAUGCCCCUGUGCACAAAGCGUGGUCCAUACAGAACGUUUGUUGAGAUCGCUGUAGAAGAGCAUGACUGGCCUGCACAGAGCCCUGACCUCGACUUCAUCAAACGCCUUUGGGAUGAUUUGGACGCCGACUGUGAGCCAGGCCUAAACGCCUGAUCUCCGUAAUGCUCUUGUGUCUAAAUGUAAGCAAGUCCCCGCAGCAAUAUCUAGUGGAAAGUCUUCACAGAAAAGUUACAGCAGCAAAGGGGUGAUCAACUCCAUAUUAAUGCCCAUAAUUUUGUAAUGAGACGUUCAGAGAGCAGGUUUCCACAUACCUUUGGUCAUGUAGUGUGUGUGUAUAUCUACAAGACAGGUCCUGCUUCUGUUGACUGUUUGAGUGUUUGUUUAAUAGCCUACUGAUUAUGCGAGCACCAAGCCUCACGCAACCAUGUCGGCUAAACUAUUUCACAAAUCCGUCUGUUUUAUAAUCUUUGCUUUGUUGUAAUUAAGGCUUUAUCCUUUUUUUUUUUGUUAGAACAGCCUUCCUGAUAUUACUUACACUUUAUUUAGUAUUUACGCUGUUCCAAAUUGUCAAAUUAUUUUUAAUAACCCUCCUUUUUCUGGGUCGCAUUAUUAUGAUCAUUAUCAUUUAGUAGACUUAGUAUAGCAGCCUUGUAUAACCACCAUCGAGAUUUGGGCCUUAGAGUGCAUCCUGUUUAGUCUUAAUACUGUAUCUUUCUUAGGCCUAUAUUUCAAUACUUUCUACAGACUACUGUAUCAGUCAUUUGUUUGUCAUCACAAAGCAUACGAGUCAUUCAUGAUUUGAAAUGCAAUCAAGCAUUUUCGUUUAAAAAUAAAAUAAAGCGACACUUGAAUAAUUAGCGUACACGAUAAAUAAACCGUUCCAUUUUGUCAAUUGCGUUCACAAAUGCAUGCAUCUGUUUUUAAUCUUUACUGUAAUGAAGCUUUACAAACAAUGUUACAACCAACUCUCUGGUACGUUUAUUUAGUGUUUACAUUGUUCCAAGCGGUCAGAGUUAUAUUGUAAUCUAACCAUUCCUGUUUGGCACUCAUAAUAUGCACGCAUUGCUUGCUUCUUACAUACUUUUUCUUGAUCGCCACUAUUUUCCACAACUAGUCAAAUUUAUUCCAUAUGUCUGACUUCACCUUUACCUCCUGAGCAACCAGUAAACAUUCCCCCGUUUCUAGUUUGUAAUUUCCUCUGCUUCCAUUUUGAUGUCACUUGUUACUGUGUUCUGAGUUCAUGACUGAUUUGUUGUGAUUUUAUGAUAUGCUAUACAUCAGGCCCUAUUGGUCAUGUGCAUGUGACGCAUACUUGUCACUUAAAGAGAGAAAGGGUUGAGGGAAUAGGGAAUAUUUUUCCUAAACAAAUGGGGGAUUUCAUUAACCGAUCAUUUGUCAGAUGGCUGUAAUUAUGUUGCAGCUUCAGCAACACUGACAGUGCGAUAAACAUUGUUGAUGUUCUGUGGUGGUCACUCCAGCAGGGAGGAGAGUGGACCAACGGAUGCUAGCCCCAGUCACUCGCUGUCAUUUUUCUUUUUUACACUGCGCAGCAAGUCUGAGCCCUGCCCAGCACAAUCAAAUCAAUUGCAGUCUUUCUUAAUGAUUUCAUCAGACUGUGUGCUUAUGGUAUCAGACAAGCACGGUGCAUAUAGUUGAUUUGAAUAAAACACAGGGUGUCUAUGGAAAAAUACAACUUCUAACAUUUCGGCCAAUCUAAGCAAAUUUUUGCGUUCGUGUUUUGAAAGCAAGGUUGCCUAGCAGAUUCACAUCAGCACUUUUUAGUUGGGCAUAAUUGUCUUUGCCAAGUGGCCAUAAUGGCAUCUUUAUCCCGGGAUGCCUGCUGGUUUGUGAUGAUCAUGUUGAUUUAUUUUUCCCAGCGGAUGUUUUGAGUGAGGAGGCCAUUCUGAAGUGGUACACCGAGGCCCACGUUGCCAAAGGAAGAAGUGUUUUCCUGGAACAGAUGAAAAAGUUUGUGGAGUGGCUCAAGAACGCGGAGGAAGAAUCUGAGUCCGAGGAGGAAGAGGCUGACUAAAAGACCUCAAGCCAAAUCCAAGGCUCGUUUUAUUUUUUAGAAUAAUGUAAUAUCUUUUUUUCUAUUCUACCUCCUCAACAACCAUAAUGUCUAGAUGUAAUUUAAGGGCUUUUACAUCAUGUUCAUUUUUUUAACUUAUAAAGUUUACACUUCUGGAUAGUAAGAAUCAUGAAUAGAUUUUCCCUUGACACACUUAAUAAUUCCUCAUUUGAAGGGAAAGACAUGUUGCCACAUUUUAAAACCAACCCCCUUAACUCACCCAGCCCCUUCUGUUGGUAUGUAUCUGUGUUUUAUGAAAGAAUGUUCCCUUUAAAAUUGACUUCAUUCUGCUGGCAUGAUUCAUAGCGAUCUUUUACUGCAGUUGGACUCUUAUUUGCCAGUGGUUGAUACAUACAUGCUCACUAUUUAACUCCUUUUUGUAUUUUUAUUUAGCCAGUGUGACAUGUCCAGAUAAUCAGAUUUUAAAUUGAACGGUCAGGCUUGAACUCUCUUGUCCACACUAUAUGAAGUUCUAGCUACCAGUCUACUGAAAAGGUGCUGGUGGUGUAAACUGUAAUCGCUCUCUGACAUCUUCUGUAACACUGUGCCAGAUUCUAGAUUUAAUUUUGGUUAUUGUUGUAAUUUCUUUACCCUGAUAUCAAUUUGACUUUUUAAAAUAAAGUUCAGUACUAGUU